rnacentral:rRNA from 1 species
CGGGUAACGGGGUGUUAGGGCACGACACCGGAGAGGGAGCCUGAGAAACGGCUACCACAUCCAAGGAAGGCAGCAGGCGCGCAAAUUACCCAAUCCCGACACGGGGAGGUAGUGACAAUAAAUAACAAUACAGGGUUCUUUUGGAUCUUGUAAUUGGAAUGAGUACAAUUUAAAUCUCUUAACGAGGAACAAUUGGAGGGCAAGUCUGGUGCCAGCAGCCGCGGUAAUUCCAGCUCCAAUAGCGUAUAUUAAAGUUGUUGCAGUUAAAAAGCUCGUAGUUGAACUUCGGGGUCUACCCAUUAGUCAGGCUUAAUUGUCUGUACUGGUGAGAUGGAUCUCUACCUUCUGAGGAACUUUCAUGCCAUUUAUUUGGUGUGAUGGGAAAUCAGGACUGUUACUUUGAAAAAAUUAGAGUGUUUAAAGCAGACUAUCGUCUGAAUACAUUAGCAUGGAAUAAUGAAAUAGGACGGACUGAUUCUAUUUCGUUGGUUUCUAGGAUCACCGUAAUGAUUAAUAGGGAUAGUUGGGGGCAUUAGUAUUCAAUUGUCAGAGGUGAAAUUCUUGGAUUUAUUGAAGACUAACUACUGCGAAAGCAUUUGCCAAGGAUGUUUUCAUUAAUCAAGAACGAAAGUUAGGGGGAUCGAAGACGAUCAGAUACCGUCGUACUCUUAACCAUAAACUAUGCCGACUAGGGAUCGGACGAAGUUAAUUUUAUAAUGACGCGUUCGGCACCUUACGG